rnacentral:rRNA from 1 species
GAUGAACGCUGGCAGAAUGCUUAACACAUGCAAGUCGAAGGCGAAUCUGUUCUUGCACUGGCUUGCCAAGGCGGACGGGGGGGUAACGCGUAGAGAACAUCCCCUGCUGACAGUGAUAACAGACUGAAGCAACUGAUAAUACCAGAUAAAAGUACCGGCACGCAUGUGGCGGGCAAUGGAAAGUGAUGCUGCAGGAGAGUGUUGCGUCCUAUUAGCUUGUUGGUGAGGUGACGGCUCACCACGGCGAUGAUAGGUCGCCGGCCGGAGAGGGUGCACGGCCACAAGGGGACUGAGAUACGGCAGUUACUCAUACGGGAGACCGGAGUGGAGAAUAGUGGACAAUGAGGGCGACUCUGAUCGAGCCCUUCUGUGUGCAAGAAGAAGGUUUUCGGAUUGAAAAGUGCUUGCAGGAGGCAAGGAGAAAGUGACGGUACCUGCAGAAGAAGCGACGGCUAACUACGUG